CGGCCCAGACUCCUACGGGAGGCAGCAGUGGGGAAUAUUGGACAAUGGGGGGAACCCUGAUCCAGCCAUGCCGCGUGUGUGAAGAAGGCCUUUUGGUUGUAAAGCACUUUAAGCGAGGAGGAGGCUACCUAGAUUAAUACUUUAGGAUAGUGGACGUUACUCGCAGAAUAAGCACCGGCUAACUCUGUGCCAGCAGCCGCGGUAAUACAGAGGGUGCGAGCGUUAAUCGGAUUUACUGGGCGUAAAGCGUGCGUAGGCGGCCAAUUAAGUCAAAUGUGAAAUCCCCGAGCUUAACUUGGGAAUUGCAUUCGAUACUGGUUGGCUAGAGUAUGGGAGAGGAUGGUAGAAUUCCAGGUGUAGCGGUGAAAUGCGUAGAGAUCUGGAGGAAUACCGAUGGCGAAGGCAGCCAUCUGGCCUAAUACUGACGCUGAGGUACGAAAGCAUGGGGAGCAAACAGGAUUAGAUACCCUGGUAGUCCAUGCCGUAAACGAUGUCUACUAGCCGUUGGGGCCCUUGAGGCUUUAGUGGCGCAGCUAACGCGAUAAGUAGACCGCCUGGGGAGUACGGUCGCAAGACUAAAACUCAAAUGAAUUGACGGGGGCCCGCACAAGCGGUGGAGCAUGUGGUUUAAUUCGAUGCAACGCGAAGAACCUUACCUGGCCUUGACAUACAGAGAACUUUCCAGAGAUGGAUUGGUGC
rnacentral:rRNA from 1 species